AACAGCAGUGUUAUCAAAUAACAGAGCGCUUUCUUAUUGUCAGGGAAAAGGAUACUGACAAAUUUCAAUGUUACGUGAUCUUUUAUGAUAUUGAAAGCCCUCUGAAGUUUCGAUAUACAGCAAAAUUUCCCCACACCCUUAACAACCAGACAAGAGAAUUGACUGAUUUAUGUGGAAUUUGUGGCGAAGGUGACGUUUUCGAAGCUGUAGUAUCAGGAUCACCUCCAUCAACACCUCCAGUAAAUUCUGUUCCUUGCAAUAGACCAUCAACAUGUACCUCUUCACCUGGUACUGCUUGUAAUACGAGUGAUAUCAUUCCACACGACUGCAUAGAAACAACGACUGAAAGCCCGACCAACAACAACCAUAACUGUAGAAAGAACAACAACAGAACAAACGAAAACCACUAAGAGUCAAUGUGGAAAGAAAAAACACAAACAUACCAUUUGAGACAUGUAACAAUAUAAUAUGCAAAUAAAUUGAGUCCAACGAA